GAUGAAGAACGUAGUGAAAUGCGAUACUUGGUGUGAAUUGCAGAAUCCCGUGAACCAUCGAGUCUUUGAACGCAAGUUGCGCCCGAAGCCAUUAGGCCGAGGGCACGCCUGCCUGGGCGUCACACGUCGUUGCCCCCCCCAUCUACUCCUUCGGGAUUGCGGGGGGCGGAUGAUGGCCUCCCGUGCGCCUCGCCGCGCGGUUGGCAUAAAUGCCAAGUCCUCGGCGACGCACGCCACGACAAUCGGUGGUUGCGAAACCUCGGUUGCCCGUCGUGUGCGGUCGUCGCGCAUCGAGGGCUCGAAAAAAUUGCCGGGCUCCGGCUCGGCUUUCAACGCGACCCCAGGUCAGGCGGGGUUACCCGCUGAAUUUAAGCAUAUCAAUAAGCGGAGGA
rnacentral:misc_RNA from 1 species